GGGGAUGAUUUGAUCGACGGGGAAGCACUUUAAAAAAUGCAAGCCGAAGUGAUUAACUUCGAUAAAAUAAUCAAAAAAUAACUGCUAAUGAUUCAGCAGAUAAUUCAACUGUAGCCGCUCUUUUUGGGCGACCCGCAUUGAAUGUUGCAUUUGCUUAAUUUAUUUAAGCAAUGUAACCAUCAAUAUUACUCUCUCCCAAUGGAGUACUAUUGGUGUAAACUCAGUUGGGACGUCAGAAACAGACUGGUCAAUCUGUUUUGGAGGAAUCAGACUAAAACUGUCGUGAUUAAUCUUUGUCGGUUAAGAUCACGCUUUUAUAAAAUCGACUAAGCUUGUAGAUGUUUUUAACUUGAUUCUUCGGACUCCGCCUCAUCGGCGGACAUCUCCACUA
rnacentral:tmRNA from 1 species